CUCAAGGACAGCGAUCGGGGACUUCCCCAGAUGGAAACCGAGGUGCUGUUUCCUGAAGAAGGAACAGGGCUGCUGAAUCCAUUCCCUGUGGCUGGAUGGGUCCAGGACUGAGAUCAAGGCAGCAGAGGGCUUCAGUGGCUUCUAGAAGGAACCACCACAGAAUAGAGAAAUUUGGACAGAGAGGCCCGGAUGCACAGCGGAGACAGCCACGUGAAGACAGAGACAGAGUUUGGAGGGAUGCAUCUAUAAGCCAAGGAACAAUAAGGAUUGCCAGAACCAACCAGAAGCUCC